CUGAUUUGAAAGAGAAAAUACAUCAUUGAUUAGCCAGUACUCAUAUGUGGAGGAUUUUUUUUUUGUAUGAAGGACAAUUCCAAUUAAUUGAUAUAUCGACGUGAUACUAUUGAACUGAGCAAAUGCCCGGCCUCUGCAUAUUACACAUGAGCAAUGCUACAUCUACGUAAUUACUUUACGUGUUUUAUGUAACAGCAAACGUGGCAAGUGAGGAUUGGGGAUGGGAAGAGGAAGGGGCCCACCCCCAUUAAAAUCAGGGGGGAGAGAGGUUUAGAUUAGGAAGUUUACGUAACUUUACGUAGUUGUUUAAGUAGGUGUAGUAUUAUUGAUUACACAUACAACUCGUUCAACACAAUAACAAAAAAAUUACAACAACAAAAAAAGGCAACCUAAGAUGAGGUAGAUUCUAUCUGAAGAGUAUACCGUCAUCCAUGAUGGGAGAAAAACUUUCUGACCCUAUGCUCCAGCCGGAUUGACGUUAUCAUAACUAGGAAAAUUGCCCGUGCGUUGCAACGGGAGAUCCAACUAUAAAGUACUAUCAUGAUAGCGAGAAUGGGCAAAAAAGAAAACAUGAAAUGAUUGCAUAUCAUUUUUUUUCUUCGUAUCUGCGUCCUGGUUGUCAGCUUUUAGGCAUGCAUGCGUCAUCGCCUAAGAUCUUGAUAGUAAUCCGCCUUAGCUCCAUCAUGAAGCCCGGACGUUCGGCUUCACCGUAAUGGAUCGGCAAGGCAUGAUAGCUUCGGUGAGCGCAUGGCCUACAGGAUGCCAAACACGGUUGCGAAGGUCUUCGAGGCCUCGGCCAGCCACCCAAUGUGCAUCCUGGGCUCCAAGUCUUGCUAUACCCAAUAAUUCACCUUAGGGGAGCACGCAUCGGCACGAGGUGUGAAUCCAUGGCGAGGCCCAGCUGCCUGAGCAUCCAGUCUAAAAGGCCCCCCACUCAGUGUCAGUUUGGGGUGGCAGGCAGCUGAUGUCUCCACCAUCUUGGGAAAUAUGCAUAUGUGUUGCAAGGGUAGGAAAAAAAUCCCUUCAGCCAUCCGUUUUAGUCCCUACAAACUACACGAUCAUAAAUUGCCGCCUCAAACCGCACCUCCACUGUCCAAGGUUUUGACUACCAAAUUCUACCGAGGGGGGAUGCGGUUAGAGCAACUCUAGCAGACCCCGCAUCCCGCCCCGGCCCGCAAAAUAACCGCCAAAUUGCGGUCGGGGCCGGAAAAUCUGCACGAUCAGACCCCGCAUCCCGCCCGGCCCGCAAAUAUUUUUGCGGGGCGCGGCAAAUCUUCUCCCCCAAUUUCUAUCUUCACGGGCUGGGAGGCCGACCCGAGCUCAACCCCUAUCCGCCGCGAGAUUUGGCGGGAGGGACAUUUCCGCGCGCCCUUUCCCGCUCCCCGCACCCUCCGCCACCAUUCCCCCCUUCCGCAAGCUCCGGUUCCUCCUCCCCGGCCGUCCCUCGCCGCCAUGAACGACCCCAUGCUGUCCCCCGUCACCGUCGAGGUCGCGCAUGCUCCUUCCCCUCGGGCGGAUCUCGUCGCCGGCCAUGUUGGCCCCGCCGCCGUCGCCCAAGCACACGCCGCGCCUGCCUGCAAGCGGCAGGGCAACGUGGUCGUGCAGGGCGGGAAUCCGGCUGCCCCCGCCGCGAUGGCCCGCGCUCCGGGCGCCAACGCGGCAACGCGAUCCUGGCUGGCGGCGGAGAAGGUCGCCAAUGCCGCAGGCGUACAGCGGAGGAAGGUUCCGGAUUCAAAGAAGCCNNNNNNNNNNNNNNNNNNNNNNNNNNNNNNNNNNNNNNNNNNNNNNNNNNNNNNNNNNNNNNNNNNNNNNNNNNNNNNNNNNNNNNNNNNNNNNNNNNNNNNNNNNNNNNNNNNNNNNNNNNNNNNNNNNNNNNNNNNNNNNNNNNNNNNNNNNNNNNNNNNNNNNNNNNNNNNNNNNNNNNNNNNNNNNNNNNNNNNNNNNNNNNNNNNNNNNNNNNNNNNNNNNNNNNNNNNNNNNNNNNNNNNNCCCCCCACGAGCGAGGUGUUCGACAAAAUGGCCGGAAGGUAUGCGUCUUCGGUCUUUGCGAUUUCCUUUCAUUUCCGCCAUUAUUCUCGAUAACUCGUGACUUGUUAUCGUUCGCUAUAGCGGUGGUUCGAACAAUGCAACAACCGAGUUCGUGAACUUGUUGGACAUGAAAGCGGUUGACAUUGAUCAAGCCCCUUUCGAACCGUUCGACUACAAUGAAACGGUGGGCGGCGUGGAUGAUCAUGGUUGUGCGGACGAAUUGGAGGAGAUCGAAGCGGAAGCGUAUGAGCAAUCACAAGCAAAAACUGGGAAACGCCAAAGAUCGAAGAACUACACGAUCUUGGAAGAUCAAGCUUUGAUCCAGGCAUGGAGUGCGGUGUCUCUUGAUGCAUGCACAGGUACUUCUCAAACCGCCAAGAGAUAUUGGCAAAGGAUCGAAGAUUAAUACUUCCGCAUUAUGGCAAAGCAUCCCAAUAGGACUCCACGCACAUUUCGGUCGCUUCAAGGGCGUUGGGAGAAUAUCAAGCCUAUGUGCAGCCGUUGGGCAGCUUGCUUGGAGCAAGUACGCAAUGCACCUCCAAGUGGCACCGUGGACUCCGACUAUGUGAGUUUGUUUUGCCUUUGUUCGAGUUGUGCAUCAUCAUAUUGCAUCAUGGGAAUGAUUGGAUCACUUUGUUCACAUUGUGUAGGACAAGAUUGCUCAACAUAGAUACAAGGACAUGGAAGCUUCGGAAGGCAGAUUCUUCAAACUAGAGCAUUUUUGGGAGUUGCUCCAAUAGUGCGAGAAGUGGAAGUUGAUCGACAAAGAAUCCCCACCAAAGCGAGGCUCACUUACAAACAUGGAUGAAGAUGAGGAUGAUGAUGGCCCAAGAAAUUUGCACAAGCCCGAUGACGACAAGAAGACUAAGGAGAAGAUGAAGAGAGAGCAAGAAGCAUCGAGCUUGAGGGAGAAGAUUGAUGCCAUGGUGCAAUCCAACGAGUCGAUGUUGUUGAAGUCGUUGGAGAUCAAGAAAGAAUUGGCCGAGAAGAAGGCAAAGGAGAAGCAAGAAAAGUGGCAAUUGCUCAAGGAAGAGGGGCUGCGCAAAGCUGCCAUCGAGGAGAGAAGAGCACGCGUCGCUGAAAACAAAUCCAUGUCCAUGUUGCUCGCCGAAGAGAACAAGAUCAUGUCAAUGAACCGCAAUGACAUGGACGACCUCACCAAAACAUGGCAUGAUAUGGCAAGGAGAGAAAUCUUGAAGAGGAGAAUGGUCGCAUCGGCCGGUCCGUGUUACAGUUCUGAUGAUGUUUUCUCUGCUCCAUAUGGUGGCAAUGUGGAUGAUUUCGGUGCGGGAGUUGGAACAAGCGCCAGAGGUGGAUUCGGUGGCGCCGAUGAACUUCAAGAUGGACUCGAUGGCGCGGAGUGAAGAUUGACCAAGAUGAUGCCGGACAUGGGCGCAAACCUUUGCAGGGCCCUCUUUUGCGUUUGUCGUAAUGAACUUGGCUUUUAUUUGCGCGUAAAACUAUUUAUGUCGUUUGAAUUUGAACUUGUUUGUGAAACCCUAUGUCAAAUGCGAGAUUUGCAGUUUUUCUGUUUGCGGGUCGUCACGGUGGUGCCCGAGCAGAACCCGCAGAAGGGGACCCGUAAAAAAACAUAUUCCGCGAAUAUACUUUUUUACGGAUCCGUUUGGGGGGUCUGCAUCUGUGCCAGCCCGCGCCGGCCCGCAAAAACGGUUCUGCGCGAACUGGAAACACGUUUUGCUGGCCGGCGGGAUGCGGGGUCUGCUAGAGUUGCUCUUGCCACGGUUACCGACAAAUACCGAGCGGUUACUAUUCAAAAUAUUUAAAUGAAUUUCAAAUUCAAAUUUAUAUAAGCUACGUAUACAUAUGUUUUAUAGUCAUUUAGCCAUAAAAUUUGGUAGUGUCACAGUGGUCAUCUUCGCGCCUGCGUUUGAAGGCUGAGGUGGAGAGUUUGAUCCCUACAUGGGCAGUUUUAAUUUUACAAUAUAUUAUAUAUUUUAUUUUUCACAAAUUCAGUGCAAAAAAAUGCAACCGCGAGAGUUGAAUGCGAGACGUUUGUCUAAAUGCUUAGUACCUUCCAUGAAAUAUAAUACUCCACAGAUCCAUGGGAGCUCCGCAGUCCGACAGAGGGAGUAGUUGCUGCUUUAAUUAACAAUACAUGUAGCGUUCAAAUUCAAAUUUUUGAAUAUUUUUGCUGAAAACGCCACAGAUCCAUGGGAGCUCCGCAGUCCGCCAGAAUCCUCACAUCCCCUGUGUCACACCGUCAGUCAGCAACAAUCCUCACCAUUGAUUGAUCUGAUUGGCACGCAUGUGCUUCAGCAAAGCACACACAUCGGCAAGGAAAUAUACAUAUUGUAGUACAGAGGGUGUCAAAGAAAGCAUACGUAAACUCUAGUACAGAGGGUGUUAAUAAAAACUAAGCCAUGCUGACUCACUGGAAAAAGCAUGACCAUGAAAAAAUAUUUUUUUUUAGAAAAGGAUGAAAAUAUAGUUAAGAAUGGAAUACUUUUGCAUCCCAUGUACUCCUCUUGACAAAAAGCAUCUACUCAUCUGCAGAAGCUAAUGAUAGUUGCAUCAGCACAAAAUUGAUACUAAUGACGAUGGACAUGUUAUGCAGUUUAGAACUUGGAUUAGCUGCACAUUUAUACAAAAGCCAUGCAUACUGUAUGAGAGUUCGCAGACGCUGCUCUUUGAGGCUGCAAGCAAAUUUAGUUUAUUGAAACGGAAAGUUUGUGCUAAAAUUCAUCAAUAGGUUUUUUAACACGGGCUUUACCUAGCAGCGGACGAGCCUGACGAUAAACAGCUACUAUAGGAGAUCAUCCUUGCACAGAGUCGUAGCACUCUUAGUCCUGCUCUAGCCUUGACAUACCCACCAAUACUGCUUCACGCCUCACGUCGUUGGAAGCCAGCGCGCACACCUUGCCGUCGCCCCUAGCGCCAGGGCCGGUGACUGGAUUCGUCCAUGAAGUUGGGCAUCUCUGCAACGUGUAGUCACCGCCGCCAACAAAUUUUCAGGGCAAAAACUCUAACUCCCUACUACAGCCGGACUCGCGCCAUCACCCACACCCAGGGGCAUGUGCUCGCGCCCGAUGCCCAUGGCCCGCACCCAUGCGCCGUCCGCGGUGGCCUCCUUCCUCCGGCCGCACUCCCCUCUCUUUUAAGACCGUGGUCUCCUCCGUCACCUCUCUCCUUCGACGCUACGAGCUCUGCUCGCAUCCGCCAUGGCGCCCGCUGCCUCCAUUGCUCGCCUCGGCACCACGCCACCACUCCACCGGGCUGCUUCGCCCCGUCGCACCCGGUUCUCCCUUCCCUUUACGGCGGAACCGGGAGCUCGCGCGCCAUGCCCCACUGUUUUGCUGCAGUAGCGCUACCCGAGGGCCUCACCUUCACCUCCACCAUCUGGCUGCUCCAGCAACACGCCCACCACCAUCUAGGUGGCAAAGGUUCUUACGUUGGCACAUGCAAAGCCCGUCGUCCUCGUAUUGCGCCGACCGCUUAUUGACAUAUAUAAAUCGGUAGCAAAGUGUGUAUAAAAGCGAGACGGAACUAUUUAAUAGGCAACAUGAUUGUUACUUAAACACACAACAGUGGACAGGUCAUCUCGUGCUUCAUGUGCUGCAUUGCAUGAGAGGUUGCGAGUUUGAUCCCUCUCCCUGAUGCCUUUUUUUUUACUGGGCCGGCUGCCACCUUAUGCGAGAAAACUCUGUUGUGACCUCGCGAGAGGAUUAGUACCACCUCACGAGAGAAAACUCGUUUUUCGCCUUUUAAAUCUCAGCCGUUGAUUUUUAUAGUUGACAUAUAAUUGAUGGAUAUAAAACUGUGACAUAUGGAGAACUAUGAAAGCUUCCGUCCUUUAUUAUUAGGUAAAGAAAAGGUCUACGUCCUCUAGUCUCCGUAGGAUAGACCAAAUACGAAGCCAUCACGUAUUGAAAGCACAUUUGCUUUCUUGGUGGUUUGGUAAUUCAUGUCAACAUACAUAUUGUUGGACUCCACCUUAUGCGAGAAAACUCUGCUGUGACCUCGCGAGAGGAUUAGUACCACCUCGCGAGAGAAAACUCGUUUUUCGCCUUUUAAAUCUCAGCCGUUGAUUUUUAUAGUUGACAUAUAAUUGACGGAUAUAAAACUGUGACGUAUGGAGAACUAUGAAAGCUUCCGUCCUUUAUUAUUAGGUAAAGAAAAGGUCUAUGUCCUCUCGUCUCCGUAGGAUAGACCAAAUACGAAGCCAUCACGUAUUGAAAGCACAUUUGCUUUCUUGGUGGUUUGGUAAUUCAUGUCAACAUACAUAUUGUUGGACUAAUGUUUUCAACUUUCUUGCCAGUAAUGACGGGACGUGGGCUGGCGACGCCUCAAUAACUAGAGUGCAAAGCUCGAGAUGAGGUUCCCCGAAACUAUGAAGUCACGGUAUCCCGGGCAGGUGGAUCUCAAGGCACGACACUCCAAAACAAUGAAGAACAUGCAGGUGGACAUACAACCUCAUGCCACAAAGGCCACAGGAUAAAUGGAGCACGCUGGGAAGCCCGAGCCCUCGGAGCCCCCUGCUGGUCAUUCUGAACUCAUAAAGGUGUCGUCCCACAUAUCGUGCACUCGGUAGGCCCGAAAACCCCUUGUCGUUGGACUCAUGAAGACACACCUAGGUUGUUGAGGAGCCCGCCCGCGUUUUCAUUCCUGAAGAUGACAAGAUUCCAACUCCGGACACGCUCGGCGCCUACUGAUGGUGUAAUACACCCGGGAUGGCCUCUCCAUGGGAAGCCCGGCAGCAGGCGUGCCCCAAGGUCCAGGGUGCUCGAUGAAGACCCAGCAUCAAGGGGGGUCUAGAGGCUCACGUAGAGAUCAAGAGAUCAUCUUGGCGUGCAAGCCAUGAUGGUGGCAGCGUGAGGUCGGUUAAACCCCCAAUGUAAACCCUAGCCCCCAUCGUCUAUAUAGGCGGGGCUAGGGGUAACCAUUCUAAUCUACAACAUAGAUUGUAGUCUCGGUAGCCAUAUUCUUUUCUCCAUUGUAACCCCCUCGCACGAGGCGCACCACCAUGAAUACAAAUCAAAAGCAUGAUGUAGGGUAUUACCUCAAUACAAGGGCUGAACCUGGGUAACCCCCUUGUGCAACCUCCGCUCUGGCACUUCUGGCCGCGUUCGCCACCCUACCAAGGGUAUUGACGGUUUUCUCUACUGUCAUCAUUCUUCCCAACAACUUCUUCACCUUCAUCAUCCAAUCAAUGGAUUGAUUGGAUUUUGAACCAUCAUUUUUCUUCAACCUUUUGUUGCCAGCUUUAAGGUCUUCCGCAAGUUAAUUUCACUUUGGUUGGCCAUUCAAUUUCAUCCAACGAUAAUGGCUAAAACCGAAUUGUUUCUUCUCGGUUUGUUGGUACAAAGUGUCCGCCAACACCAUCCAUCAAACAAUAAAGUUAGCCGAUAUAAAAACUAGCAAUGACGAAACGAAGCAAUUCAACUUACGUGACUUUGGACUCUAAUCCCACUUUGAUUCUGGCCAAGCACGAAAGCAUAGUGGCCGACAAACUUGUUCAAGUUGUCUUGGAUGACGGCCAUCUAUGCUGGAGAGAGGCCACAUUGCAUGUGGUAUUGAUAGGAUGCGGCACCACAUAUUCCUUCUUUUCAUGAUAGUGUUUGUGGAUCUUCUCCUAAUACUUGUUGCCCUCUUGCUCUGUGCCACGUAUAGGGUCCAUGAUUGUGGCCAACCAAGAUUUAACCAACAAAACAUCCUCAAAUGUUGUGAAUAUUGGACCUCUUGCCUUGGGUAUCUUUGUCGUUCUUUUCUUGUUAGCGCACGAUGUUCUCCCAACAUCAAACGUAGGACAAUUUGGAUCCCGCAACAUCAAACGCGGGCGUCCUUGAAAUCCUUGGCUACCACUUCCCACUCGCGUUGCUUCCUUCGCCGCUCCCUCCGGACGACGUUCUUUGCCUUGCAGCUCGUCGCCACGGAUGGGAGCCCCACAAACGACUCUGAGGCAACAUCCAUGGCGGCGGGUGGCAACAUCAUCUAGGGUGACACAGAUGAUAGAGGACGGCGAGGGCUCGGACGCAGAAAAUGAAGGAUGAACGCAGGAGGAGGGCGUUGGAUUUUGACGGACUUGGUUAAUUUGUGGUGGCACCAGUCUGUCUGGUCCGAUGUGACGAACACGCACGGAUGGGUCCAGGCAUCCUCAUAUUCAUUCUAGACAUGGGUUGGAUAUGUGGGUGCUGGUUGGCCUAGACGUAUAAAGCCAAUUUGAGAAGGCCGACUGGGUCACAAUUUUAUGUCCGGUCACUGACCGAGCUUUCGAGGCUGCCACGUAUAAAGGCGUUUGAGGAGGCCGGACGUAGAUGCUCUGAAGUGAAACUGUUUUCUAAGGACCGACGAAAUAUCUCACCACAACCCCAAAUUCAGGCACCAAAAUGAGUUCGAACAAGUACUCCCUCCGUUCCUAAAUAUAAGUCUUUUUAGAGGUUUUAAAUGGACUACAACAUACGGAUGUAUGUAGACAUAUUUUAGAUUGUAGAUUCACUCAUUUUGCUUCGUAUGUAAUCCCUUGUUGGAAUCUCUAAAAAGACUUAUAUUUAGAAACGGAGGGAGUAGAUAAAAAGAAAACUACAGGCAAAGGCAGACACAGUGGAAACCAUAAAACCUGUAUAUGAACAAUCUGGUUAAAUACGAGCGAAUACAGCUAAUAAUGCGGAUCAAUUUGCUAACGCUCAAUCGAUUCAUAGUGCACAGUGAUCAAUUUGCUAAUGCUUAACAUCUGGUCAAAUACGAGAGAAUACAGCUUCACGCGGAUCUUUGAAUAACUGGAGAUACAUAUUAAAACCAAAAUCAGAUCUCGCGAAAUUAGACUCAGACUUGAGAUGAACUCGUUGAUGCAAGAAGGCUACCAGAUCUCGCGCAGGC
rnacentral:lncRNA from 1 species